ACGGGAGGCAGCAGUGAGGAAUAUUGGUCAAUGGGCGGAAGCCUGAACCAGCCAAGUAGCGUGCAGGAUGACGGCCCUAUGGGUUGUAAACUGCUUUUGUCAGGGAAUAAAAAGGAAUACGUGUAUUCCAUUGCAUGUACCUGAAGAAUAAGGACCGGCUAAUUCCGUGCCAGCAGCCGCGGUAAUACGGAAGGUCCGGGCGUUAUCCGGAUUUAUUGGGUUUAAAGGGAGCGCAGGCGGCCUUUUAAGCGUGUUGUGAAAUGUAGUGGCUCAACCUCUGCACUGCAGCGCGAACUGGAGGGCUUGAGUACGCGGGAAGUAGGCGGAAUUCGUCGUGUAGCGGUGAAAUGCUUAGAUAUGGCGCAGAACCCCGAUUGCGAAGGCAGCUUGCCAGCAUGCAACUGACGCUGAGGCACGAAAGCGUGGGUAUCAAACAGGAUUAGAUACCCUGGUA
rnacentral:rRNA from 1 species